CGCAGCGUCACCUAACUGGUCAAGGUACUCGCCUCAUAAGCGGGGAUAUGUGGGUUCGAGUCCCACCGCUGCUACCA
rnacentral:tRNA from 1 species